GAAAGUAAAUAAGGGCGCAUGGCGGAUGCCUUGGCUCUCGGAGGCGAUGAAGGACGUGAUAAGCUGCGAUAAGCUUCGGGUAGGUGCAAAUGACCUUUGAUCCGAAGAUUUCCGAAUGGGACAACCCGGCAUUCUGAAGGAAUGUCAUCCAACUUGGUUGGAGGCUAACGCAGGGAACUGAAACAUCUUAGUACCUGCAGGAAAAGAAAAUAAAUAAUGAUUCCCCUAGUAGUGGCGAGCGAACGGGGAUUAGCCCAAACCACCCAUGUUACGGCAUGUGUGGGGUUGUAGGACCACGCUCUCGCAAGACAGUUAUUGAGAAGAAACGACUGGAAAGUCGUGCCAUAGACGGUGAUAGCCCGGUAUUCUAAGGUAACCGAAGCGUAGUGGUAUCCUGAGUAGCGCGGAGCACGAGGAAUUCUGCGUGAAUCAGCCGGGACCAUCCGGUAAGGCUAAAUACUCCCGAGAGACCGAUAGCGAACCAGUACUGUGAAGGAAAGGUGAAAAGCACUUCGAAUAGAAGAGUGAAAUAGUCCCUGAAACCAUGCGCCUACAAGCGGUCGGAGCAGCUUCAGCUGUGACGGCGUGCCUUUUGCAUAAUGAACCUACGAGUUACUUUUUCCGGCAAGGUUAAGCAUCUUGAGAUGUGGAUCCGAAGCGAAAGCGAGUCUGAACAGGGCGGAUAGUCGGAAGGAGUAGACGCGAAACCAAGUGAUCUACCCUUGGGCAGGUUGAAGGUUAGGUAACACUAACUGGAGGACCGAACCGAUAAGCGUUGAAAAGCUUCCGGAUGACCUGAGGGUGGGGGUGAAAGGCUAAUCAAACUUGGAGAUAGCUCGUACUCCCCGAAAUGCAUUUAGGUGCAGCCUUGAGAGUUACUAAUGUGAGGUAGAGCGACUGAUAAGAUGCGAGGGCUUCACCGCCUAUCAAGUCUUGAUAAACUCCGAAUGCGCAUUAGUUCUAUCUCAGGAGUGAGGGCAUGGGUGCUAAGGUCCAUGUCCUAAAGGAGAAGAAUCCAGACCAUCAGCUAAGGUCCCCAAAUAAACACUAAGUUGAACUAACGAAGUCAGAUUGCUAAGACAGCUAGGAUGUUGGCUUGGAAGCAGCCAUUCAUUUAAAGAGUGCGUAACAGCUCACUAGUCGAGGAGUUUGGCGUGGAUAAUAAUCGGGCAUAAGUGUUUUACCGAAGCUAUGGGAUCCUAACGGAUCGGUAGGGGAGCAUUCCACUCAGCGUUGAAGGCGAAGCGUGAGCUUUACUGGAGCGUGUGGAAAAGCAAAUGUAGGUAUAAGUAACGAUAAAGGGGGUGAGAAACCCCCUCGCCGCAAGACUAAGGUUUCCUGAUCAACGCUAAUCGGAUCAGGGUUAGUCGGGUCCUAAGGCUCAGCCGAACGGUGAGGCCGAUGGCAGAACAGGUUAAUAUUCCUGUACUACCUAUAGGAGUGAUGUGGAGACGGAGGAGUGACAACGCCGCGGACUGACGGAAUAGUCCGUUAAAGGGUGUAGAUGUUGAUUAUCCCAGGCAAAUCCGGGAUAAGAGUCGAACCUGACAGUAUACCAAUUUCCUCGGAAAACGGUAAUAGUGCGUGUAAACAUACUCCCAAGAAAAUCCGCUAAACUUAAUCUUAUAGGUACCCGUACCGUAAACGGACACACGUAGUCGGGUUGAAUAUACUCAGGCGCUUGAGUGAAUCACGGUUAAGGAACUAGGCAAAUUGACCCUGUAACUUCGGGAUAAAGGGUCCCUACCCGGUGACGGGAGGGCGCAGAGAAUAGGUCCAGGCAACUGUUUAACAAAAACACAGGGCUGUGCAAAAUUGAAAGAUCACGUAUACAGCCUGACACCUGCCCGGUGCUGGAAGGUUAAGAGGAGAUGUCAUCGCAAGAGAAGCAUUGAAUUGAAGCCCCAGUAAACGGCGGCCGUAACUAUAACGGUCCUAAGGUAGCGAAAUUCCUUGUC
rnacentral:rRNA from 1 species